rnacentral:lncRNA from 1 species
AUGGUUUCAUUUUUCAUUUUCAUCAUGCUUCAAUUCCAUUUAGCUUCUAAUCUGUUACUUACUGUCACUUAUUUUGUUUCUUUUAUCACAUACUUUCAUAAAAAUACAUUAUCGGCUACUAUAACUGCUAUAACAUUAUCGAAACCGUGGUACAAUGCUAAUCUUGUGGUAUAAUUCCUGUUUUUAUUAUUCCAUUGGCUUUCUACAAUAUUACUUGUCUGCUGUAAUUCCUGCUUUCAUUACUAUUCUGUUGCCUUUUCUACUGCAUAUA